UAUAAAAGAAGAAUGAUACAGAGAAAAUCAGCAUGGUCCCUGAGCAAGGAUGAUACAUGAAUUCAUGAAGCUUUCCAUAUUUUU
rnacentral:snRNA from 1 species